GUUGCAGUUAAAAGCUCGUAGUUGAAUUUUGGCCUUGGUUUGUGAGGUUCGGCCUUCACUGGUCGGUACCUUUACGAACCGGGCUCCACCUUCUGGGUUAGCCAGUUGUUACUUCGGUGCAGCUGGUGAACCAGAACUUUUACUUUGAAAAAAUUGGAGUGUUUAAAGCAGGCUUUCAAGCUUGAACAUAUUAGCAUGGAAUAAUGAAAUAGGACUUUGGCCUUAUUUCGCUGGUUUCUAAAGCCAAGGUAAUGAUGAAUAGGGAUAGUUGGGGACAUUAGUAUUCAAUUGUCAGAGGUGAAAUUCUUGGAUUUAUUGAAGACUAACUUCUGCGAAAGCAUUUGUCAAGGAUGUUUUCAUUAAUCAAGAACGAAAGUUAGGGGAUCGAAGACGAUCAGAUACCGUCGUAGUCUUAACCAUAAACUAUGCCGACUAAGGAUCGGAUGGUGUUAUAUUUAUAUUGACCCAUUCGGCAUUUCAGCGAAAGCCAAGUUUUUGGGUUCCGGGGGGAGUAUGGUCGCAAGGCUGAAACUUAAAGGAAUUGACGGAAGGGCACCACCAGGAGUGGAGCCUGCGGCUUAAUUUGACUCAACACGGGGAAACUCACCAGGUCCAGACAUAGUAAGGAUUGACAGAUUGAGAGCUCUUUCUUGAUUCUAUGGGGUGGUGGUGCAUGGCCGUUCUUAGUUCGUGGAGUGAUUUGUCUGGUUAAUUCCGAUAACGAACGAGACCUUACUCUGCUAAAUAGCCAGCAUGACUUUGGUCGUGUCCUUUUUGGCUUCUUAGAGAGACUAUCAAUGUUUAUUUGAUGGAAGUUUGAGCAAUAACAGGUCUGUGAUGCCCUUUAGAUGUCUGGGCGCACGCGCGCUACACACUGAU
rnacentral:rRNA from 1 species